rnacentral:rRNA from 2 species
UACAGAGACUGCAAGCGUUAUUCGGAUUCACUGGGCGUAAAGGGUGCGCAGGCGGCCGAGUGUGUUAGAUGUGAAAUCCCGGGGCUCAACCCCGGAACUGCGUCUAAAACUACUUGGCUAGAGUAUUGGAGAGGGUAUCGGAAUUCACGGUGUAGCAGUGAAAUGCGUAGAUAUCGUGAGGAACACCAGAGGCGAAGGCGGAUACCUGGACAAUUACUGACGCUCAGGCACGAAAGCGUGGGGAGCAAAAGGG